ACGAGCCCGCGGGAUCCUCGGAGAGUAUGGAACCCUUCCCCUCCGCUCUCAGCCGGAGGCCAGCUGCGUCCAGCCGGGCUCGGUCUUCUGAACACCGAUUUCAAAUCAGGUCCUCGGGGCCCAGCGUCACUUAGGGAAGUGGUGGCAUUUUGUGGUAAGGACGCACACUUGUCAGGUUGGGGGAGGCAGCCUGAGUCGUGGGCCGCGCACCCCGGGAGCAGUGCCGUUAGACCGUGGGACGCGGGCACUGGAGAGGCUACUGCACCGCCCUCCGCAAAUUACCUCCCCGGGGCGGGGGCGCGGCCGCUGCUAAGGAUUUUUGCAUACCCCUGACCCCACCUGAGAAUCCCGGCCUCCCAUCUUCCGGUCUCUCUGACUCUAGGUUGCUGCUAAAUCACGGAGAGCAGCCUUGGCGCUGCCGGUCCCAACUUGAUCCAAGGAGCCUUGAGAAGGAGAUGAGAUUCAGUACCAGGGGCCGGCCGUGGCUCCCAUCCUCCGGAAUCUGCAAAAUGGCUACUUCUUCAGAAAUAAUGGGGAGAGGGAUGGCAAGAGGCCAGAGAUCAAGGCCCUCGAGUAUUAACUUGAGCAUUUGGGCACAAAAUAGACACUUUUGGAUUUUCCCGUCUUUUCCAACACCAAGGAUGAGAUUAUCAAAAGAUGUGUUAAAUUAAUUUGUACCGGCCGGGCGCGGUGGCUUACGCCUGUAAUCCCAACACUUUGGGAGGCCGAGGCGGGCGAAUCACAAGGUCAUGAGUUCGAAACCAGCCUGGCCAAUAUGGUGAAACCCCCGUCUCUACUAAAAAUACAGAAAUUAGCCGGGAGUGGUGGCGUACGCCUGUAGUCCCAGCUACUCUGGAGGCUAAGGCAGGAGAAUCGCUUGAAUCCGGGAGGUGGAGGUCGCAGUGAGCCGAGACCGGGCCACUGCACUCCAGCCUGGGAGACAGAGCGAGACUCUGUCUCAAGAAAAAAAAAAAAUCAAUUUGUACCAUUCCUUGCCCCACCCUGCCGAACUUAUUGAAAGAGCAUCGCUUUCCUCACUUUUCUCCUCUAACAGAAAAGCACUUAGAUGAAGCUACAGGGAGCCAGAAUUCUUUUGACUUGGUGGGUACCGGAGGAUUGGAAGAAUCUAGAUUGAGUAUUCCUUGGCCUUUGGGGAGCUUGCUCUAUGCAAAGUCACCCAGGAAAUGAUACUCCCCCCACUGUGAAACACUAGCUAGAGAUGAUAGACAAAAAGCACAUUUGUUGUAAUCUCCCUUUGACGGGAUUCAGGUUGGGAUAGAUGUCGAAGCAGCUGCUUCUAGGUAGUCAACGAAGAUGUCAACUAGUAAAUGACAACAGACAAGGAUGAGCACAGCAGAGCUGUACGAUUCUAGAUAUCAAAAAGAGCAAGCAGUCUGUUGUACUCACCAUCGCAUCCUCAGCAGCUGCCCAGUGCCCGGUUUUAACUUAGUGCUCAGUGUAUGUGUCAGGUUUGAAUCCCAAUUCUGAUACUACCUGUGCUACUCUCUUCACCUCUCUGAGUCUGUAAAGGAUUAUUUAAGAAUUAAAUGAAACAACAUACAGAAAAGUGUCCUGCAUGUAUAUUUAGUGCCUAACAAAUAUUGGUUGAACGUCGAAAGUGGCAAGGAGGCUCAGUAUGUUCUUAUACGCUUUGCCUCCCUUCUCCUGAGCAAGCAUGUCCUUGCCCAGCUCAUCUGCUUCUCUCACCACUUUUGCCCUCACUCCCUCCACCUGUCCUCCAAAUGACUCAAAAUAAUCUGCACUAUUUAUUAUGCAUCUACUAUGUUCCAAGACAAUGAGGGUCAGCUGAGCCCGCAUUGCAGGAUGGAAAUUUCCAACUAUGUUCUGUUUACAGCUAAUGAUAUUUGCACCUAAUGCAAAGGUUUACAGACUUUACUGUUAUAGAAUCAUUUGGAAUACCUGUUGAAGAUGCAGACACCCACCUUACCAUACCUCCUAUUGCUAAGAUUACGCUUGAAAGGAUCUGAGGUAGGGGCUCUGGAUCUGCAUUUUUUAUUUUUUACAUCUCUAUACAUUAUUUUACAUAAAUGUAUAAAUGGAGUCAUGACAUACAUAUUGAAUUUUUCACUUACAAAAAUUUUUAUUCCGUGUAUUCCCUCUUCUCUUCCCCUACAUUAACAACCUAGUACAUUUCUUUAAAUAUUCUUGUAAUAGUGUAUAUCUGCACUUACAUAAAAUAACAUGUAAUUGUAUAAAAACAAUACAUAUUCAUGCAGAUAUGCAUACACUCUAAUACUGAGCUUUGGCAUUGUCUUGAAAAAGUUAGAUCAUAUGUAUAUUUUUCUGCAGCUGUUUUUCUCAAUACGUAUGGCAGAAUUUCUCAGCAAGAUGUGCAUUGUCAGAGAGACAGUCUUAAGGUUUCUUCCCCUAGUAUGCCACAUAAAUAUUAUCACUUUUUAUGUGUAGCAUGCCUAUAGAGUGAAAAGGGAAGCAUGGCCUAAUGGAAACCAUAUAUCUGAUUCAUUAUUCUUAACAACUGCAAAAAUCAGCAUAUGUAAAGGAUCUCAGGUGAUUUUUUUUUUUUUUUUUUUUGAGACCGAGUCUUACUCUGUCACCCAGGCUGGAGUGCAGUGGCACAAUCGUGGCUCACUACAACCUCCACCUCCCUUGUUUAAGCAAUUCUCCUGCCUCAGCCUCCCGAGUAGCUGGGAUUACAGGCAUGCACCACCACACCCGGCUAAUUUUUGUAUUUUUAGUAGAGAUAGGGUUUCACUUUGUUUGCCAGGCUGGUCUCGAACUCCUGACCUCAAAUGAUCCAGGCCACCUCUGCCUCCCAAAGUGCUGGGAUUACAGGCAUGAGCCACCAUGCUUGGCCAACCUGAGAUGACUUUGGUGGUGGCUGAUCACACUUUUGGGAACACUGAUAUGAGGACAUGCAGACAUAUGGUCCAUGGGUGAGGGUCUUAAUCUGUUUGUGUUGCUAUAAAGGAAUACGGGAGGCUGGAUAAUGUAUGAAGAAAAGAGGAUUAUUUGACUCAUGGUUCUGCAGGCUGUCAGCUUCAGAUGAGGGCCUUAUGCUGCUUCCACUCAUGCAGAAGGCAAAGGGGAGACUUCGUGCAGAGAUCACAUGGCUACAGUGCAAGAUGGGGCAUCAGGGGAGAGAAAGGGAGAAGCUGACUCUCGGUUCUUUUGAACAACCUGUUCUCAAGGAUGAGAACUCACUCUCAGGAGAAUAGCACCAAGCCAUUUGUGAGGAAUUCAUCCAUAUGGCCCAAACACCUCCCACCAGGCCCCAACUCCAGCACUGGGACUCAUAUUUCAACAUGACACUUUGCAGGUCCAAAGCCAUACCCAAACCAUAGCAGGGAGCUUAUUAAUUCAUUAGCCUCCAUGAAAUUUAGAAUUAUAGAAUGUGCGAGCUGAGAAGGAACCUCAGCCUCUCUCAUGAUUGAAGAAACUGGAGUUUGGACAGGUUAAGUAAUUUGUCUCAGACACCAAGGAAGUGAAUGGGGAAACAGGGAACAGAACUCAGGUCUCUUGACUAAUGUUUUAGACAUUAAAUAAAUAGGUUAUUAAAUGAAUAGAAUUAUUCUAUAUGAAUAAUUUCAUAUAGAAGGAAGAAAUGCUAUGUGCAAGGUAGAGAGAAAUUAUACAAGAAGCCUCAUUUGGUGCAGGAGUUCAUUUUACGGAAGGUACCUCCUAAAUUUGGUAGAACAAAGACUCAAAACCAGUCUAUGCCCUCUCUCCUGCAAACCAACCGUUUGAUCUUGAACAUAUCAACUCACCUUUCUAACCAGAGUUUCUACUCUAGUACAUCAUUCAAGUAUUUCUUGAGCAACUAAAACAGUGAUGUUGUGGAUAAAGCAGUAAACCAGGUAUAAAGCGUAAGGCCUGCUCCAGAAAACUUCCUAAAAGGCCUAGAACAUGGCUAAAGGAUAUCUCAGAUCCUUUGGACAGUUCUAACGUUCUAUUAAUCUGGGACAGUGGCUCACUCCUCCCUAACCCUGUUUCUUUUCCCCUCAGAGUGUGCCUCCCAUCAUCAUCAUGCUGCUUCUCCUCAGACUGACACUUUUAAUUGGUGAACCUAUUGAGCAGGGUCUAGAGUCUGAAUUCCUUGUUUUCUAAACUGCCUAGCUUAUAGCUGGGGAAUGCUAGGAAAAUGCCAAGUUAGAUAUUUACGUUUCUUGCCUCAAAAGGUUCACUGGAUUCUGGGUUCACUGAUGGAUUAGAACUGAAAUCCAUCAUCUCUUACAGUGGGUCUAGUCUCCAGAUUUGCUGCUGUGUCUGCUGAUACCCUCGACGCCCCAGCACCAGCCUAUCUGGCUCCCUAUUCUGCCACUGGCUACAUUUUCAGGCAAUAACAGAGGAGGUGCAGGCAUUGUGUGGUAGGCCAAAUAAUCCUCCCCUCCCCCAAAGAUGUCCAUGCUAUAAUCCCUAGAAUCUGUAAAUAUGUUACCUUACAUGGCAAAAGAGACUUUGCAGGUGUAAUUAAGGUUAAGAACCUUGAGAGGAGGGGAUUAUCCUGGAUUAUUCAAGUAGGCCCAAUGUAAUCACGAGUCCUUGAAAGUGGAAGAGGAAAGCAGAAGAGUUGCUGACUUUGAUGAUUGAGGAAGGGGUUCUUAAACUAGGGCAUGUGAGUGGCUUCUGAAGCUGGAAAGAACCCUCAGCUGACAGCCACCAAGGAAACAGAGAUUUCAGUCUUACAGACUCAAGGAACUACAUUCUACCAAUGAUCAAUGUACAAGGAAAUAGAUUUUCCCUCGAGCCUCCAGAAAGGAACCUAGCCUUGCUGACACUUUGAUUUUAGACUGGUGAAAUUCAUGCUGAACUUAUGACCUACAGAGUUGUAAAAUAAAUAAAUAAAUUUCUUGAUUGUGCAGAUUAUUUUGUUAAAAAAAGAAAAAAACCAAAUUUUUGUAUUAAGAUGCUAAAUUGGUAGUAAUUUGUUUCAGCAGACAGAAAAUCUAAUACAGAUGCUUCUUGAUUUACAAUGAGGCUAUACCCUGAUAAUCCCCAUCGUAAGGUGAAAAUGCAUUUAAUACCCCCAAUAAACCCAUUGUAAAGUCGAAAAAUCAUAAAUCAAACCACUGCAAGUCAGGGACCACCUGUCCACACCACUGUGGUGUGGAAAGUAGAAGAAAGAAAAGGGACGUACACUCAGUUUCCUGGUGUGCCAGGAAACUUCCAAGCAGCAGAACCAAGGGAAAAAUGCAAAGGGUGUUAAUGAAAAGAAAGUGAAUGUCAUUUGACUUGUCCUGAGUGAAGACCCUCAGUUACGGCCAACUUUAACUAUGUAAAUAGCAUGGAAACAGUAUUCUUUUUAAAAAGGAAUAUACAAACCAACUGUAUUUGGCUUCGAAUUCAAAGUUUACUAUUAAUAAAGGGAAAAAGCAGAUUUUCCACUCUUGCUCUUCCACAAAUUCUGCAAUACUCUCAGAAUGUGUAUUACUCUGUCAUAUAAUUGAUGUCAUCAUCAUAUAUAUUCCAAUUGGCCAUAGCACCUUGAAGGCAGGGUUUGUAUGUUUUUCAACAUUGUCACUCCAGCAUCUGACAUGGUGCGGCAAAUAAUUAGUGGAUGAAUGAAUAAAUGCCGCAGCUUCCAUUUGAGGCUUAACAUCAUCUUUGCUUCCAUUACUAAAAUACUAUUUGAAUGACUCUUCCCUCAUUGCAAAUGCUGUCUUCUUAAACGUUUUUAUUAAGUACUCCUUUGCCUAAAAACCUUUAUGAUCUCCUUGUCAGCUAUAGGAGAAACACUAAAUUCAGUAUCAUAUCACUCACGGUCCUUCCUCACAUGGCCUCAGUCUAUGCUUUCAGCCAUACCUUUCCCCCACUGGCUCUCUACAUGCAUUUAUUUAUGUAUCUGCUUCCCCUUCUCCUUUUUUUUCAAAUUUUAGGACUUGUAGUGCAACCCACUAGUCAGUCAUAAACUCAAUUUAGAAGGCUAUGACCAGCACAUUUUAAAAGAGAACAGAAAAUAUCCAAGUACGUGGCACACAAUAAACAGAAGCUGCACAAAACCUUUGUUUCAGUUGUGUGUACAUGCGUGUCACACUUAAAAUUUAUUUAUUGUGGUCAUGGCUCUAAACUGAGAAUUCCUCAAGGACAGAUUAUGUUUUAUUUUAUUAUGAUUGUUGGCUUUUAUUAUUCCCAGUACUUAUCACAGUGGCUGGUAAAACAAUUAUAACUUGUUUAUUUGUUGAAUGAACCAGACUGAACUAAGGGUAUUUUGGAGUUAAAGACUGUAGAGCUACACCAACAGCACAAAGUCAAGUAGUGUGGGUUUCCUCGAGGGAUCAAGGCAGUCUGCCUGUCUCCACAGGAUGCCCUCAGUUCUCCCACAUUAUCACAGCAUAUGUACUUGGGUCCCAACGGCAACUCCACUGCUGCCUCCCAAUCAAUUCACAAAUUGCUAUGGAACAUCUCUGGGGUAGGGUUCUGACCUAGAAGAAACCUGAAAUAUAGAGGUUUAGUCCUGGGACCAGGAUGAGGGUGAGGCCACAGAGGCUUCUAGGGCACCAAUUUUAAGGAGACAUUCACCCUCAGGGUCGAGCAAGUAGCAACCCUGCAUUCAGUCCUUUCCCUGUCUUCUAACCAAGUUGAUGAAAUCACACAAGCACAAAGAAGCACCAGGGGCUUUGCAAGAAGGCCAGCCUGGGUUCAGAUUCCUGAUCUGCUGCGUUCUGGGUUGUGCAACUCUUCAGGCAAAUUGCUUAUCCUCCCUAAUCCUCACGUUCCUCUCACCUCCUUCAUUACCACGCUAAUUCAAGCCAUCAACAUCUCUCACCUGGAUCACUGCCAUAGUCUCUUAACUAGCCUCCCUGCCUCCACCCUUGUCCUCCUACAAUUUAUUCUCCACACAGUGCCAAACUAAUUCUUUUAAAAUGUAAGUGAGGCCAGGCAUGGUGGCUCACGUCUGUAAUCCCAGUACUUUGGGAGGCUGAGGUGGGCAGAUCACCUGAGGUCGGGAGUUCGAGACCAGCCUGACCAACAUGGAGAAACCCCAUCUCUACUAAAAAUACAAAAUUAGCCAAGUGUGGUGAUGCCUGACUGUAAUCCCAACUACUUGGGAGGCUGAGGCAGGAGAAUCACUUGAACCCGGGAGGCAGAGGUUGUGGUGAGCCGAGAUCAUGCCAUUGCGCUCCAGCCUGGGCAACAAGAGCAAAACUCUGUCCCCUCAAAAAAAAAAAAAAAAAAAAAAGUAAAUGAGAACAUGGCCCUCAUCCACUCAAAGCCCUCUAAUAGUUUCCCAGCUGUAUCAGGAUAAAAGCUUGGGCCUUGCAAGUCCCUAUGGAUUCCAGCCCCUAUUGCCACUCUAACUUUAUUUCCUAUUCCUCUCCUUCGCAUUAUCUUGUUUCAGGCCCCCGGCCUCCUCACCACUUCACGUGUCCCCCAGGCGUGCUCCCACCACAGAGCUUUUUUCCUUUUGUUUCCUCUGCCUGGGUGCAGUUCCCGCCUCUUGACUGCAUGGCUCACACAUUCACUCAUCUCCUGCAAGUCUUUGCUCAAUUGUUACUUUCUCAGUAAGGCCCUUCCUAACCUCCCGUUAAAAAAUGUUAGCCCUCUACUCUCUAGCACUUCCUCCUUCCCUGCUGUAUUUUUCUCUAAAAUGCCUUGCACCAUUUGACAUACUCU
rnacentral:lncRNA from 1 species